AGCGUGGAGACAGGUGGUGCAUGGCUGUCGUCAGCUCGUGUCGUGAGAUGUUGGGUUAAGUCCCGCAACGACCGCAACCCUCACCUCUUGUUGCCAUCAGGUCAUGCUGGGCACUCUAGAGGAACUGCCCCGGUCAACGGGGAGGAAGGCGGGGAUGACGUCAAGUCAUCAUGCCCCUUACGUCCUGGGCUACACACGUGCUACAAUGGCCGGUACAAAGGGAUGCCACACCGCGAGGUAGAGCUAAACCCAAAAAGCCGGUCUAAGUUCAGAUUGGAGUCUGCAACUCGACUCCAUGAGGGAGGAAUCGCUAGUGAUCGCGUAUCAGCACGACGCGGUGAAUACGUUCCCGGGCCUUGUACACACCGCCCGUCACCCCACGAAAGCCUGCUGUACUCGAAGUCGCUGAG
rnacentral:rRNA from 1 species